UGGGGAAUUUUGGACAAUGGGGGAAACCCUGAUCCAGCCAUCCCGCGUAUGCGAUGAAGGCCUUCGGGUUGUAAAGCACUUUUGGCAGGAAAGAAACGUCGCGGGUUAAUACCCCGCGAAACUGACGGUACCUGCAGAAUAAGCACCGGCUAACUACGUGCCAGCAGCCGCGGUAAUACGUAGGGUGCAAGCGUUAAUCGGAAUUACUGGGCGUAAAGCGUGCGCAGGCGGUUCGGAAAGAAAGAUGUGAAAUCCCAGAGCUUAACUUUGGAACUGCAUUUUUAACUACCGGGCUAGAGUGUGUCAGAGGGAGGUGGAAUUCCGCGUGUAGCAGUGAAAUGCGUAGAUAUGCGGAGGAACACCGAUGGCGAAGGCAGCCUCCUGGGAUAACACUGACGCUCAUGCACGAAAGCGUGGGGAGCAAACAGGAUUAGAUACCCUGGUAGUCCACGCCCUAAACGAUGUCAACUAGCUGUUGGGGCCUUCGGGCCUUGGUAGCGCAGCUAACGCGUGAAGUUGACCGCCUGGGGAGUACGGUCGCAAGAUUAAAACUCAAAUGAAUUG
rnacentral:rRNA from 1 species